rnacentral:rRNA from 1 species
UACGUAGGGGGGCAAGCGUUGUCCGGAAUCAUUGGGCGUAAAGAGCGUGUAGGCGGCCCGAUAAGUCCGCUGUGAAAGUCCAGGGCUCAACCCUGGGAUGCCGGUGGAUACUGUCGGGCUCGAGUCCGGAAGAGGAGUGUGGAAUUCCUGGUGUAGCGGUGAAAUGCGCAGAUAUCAGGAGGAACACCAAUGGUGAAGGCAGCACUCUGGGACGUGACUGACGCUGAGACGCGAAAGCGUGGGGAGCAAACAGG